GACGAACGCUGGCGGCGUGCUUAACACAUGCAAGUCGAACGGAAAGGCCCUGCUUGCAGGGUGCUCGAGUGGCGAACGGGUGAGUAACACGUGGGUGAUCUGCCCCUUACUCUGGGAUAAGCCUGGGAAACUGGGUCUAAUACUGGAUAGGACCAUGCUGUAGGUGGUGUGGUGGAAAGAUUAGUUUCGGUAAGGGAUGAGCUCGCGGCCUAUCAGCUUGUUGGUGGGGUAAUGGCCUACCAAGGCGUCGACGGGUAGCCGGCCUGAGAGGGUGGACGGCCACAUUGGGACUGAGAUACGGCCCAGACUCCUACGGGAGGCAGCAGUGGGGAAUAUUGCACAAUGGGCGCAAGCCUGAUGCAGCGACGCCGCGUGGGGGAUGACGGCCUUCGGGUUGUAAACUCCUUUCAGCCAUGACGAAGCCCUUGUGGUGACGGUAGUGGUAGAAGAAGCACCGGCUAACUACGUG
rnacentral:rRNA from 1 species